CCACGAUAGAUCGGCUGAAACUCGUAGGAAAGAUCGAUGGGGUUGAGAAACUUAUAAGAAAAAUUCAACAGGAGAUUAGAUUUUUAGAAAAGGAAAUGUGAAGAAAGAACAUCUGCAGAGCACGAACUUGAUUCAUUUAAAUGCCAUUGUUGCACGUUUGUUUUGCGCCAACGAACCCACUAAUGUUAUGAAGCCGUUUAAAUAUCAGAAAUCACGUCUGGAAGUAGACAUAGUAUGCAACGGUGGAGCUUCGUGGGUAAAGGUUAUCGCUAGGAAUGCUAGAGCUCUUACUUUGAUCUCUAUGGGCAACGGAGAAUAUGGCCAGAAAUCUGUGCUUGAUCAAGCAUCCAGUUACUUGCAAUGCGCAAAAUGUUAUCCAUAUCUAUAUAGACCACCAGACAUCGUAUUCCAUUUUGCUUAUGGCAUAGAAAUACCUUUAGCCACACGCUUGGAACUUAUGGGAGUAAUUGUUGAAGGAGAUAGAAUUCCAUGCGAGGAAGAAAAAAGCAUAGACAUACAUGAUGUAAAUGAAAAAUUUUCUACGUGGAUGCAUAUGUUAGAAUUCAAUGGAGAAUCAUUAGACGAGUACAAAAGGAAUAGAAAUUCGAAUCUAGACACUCUUAAUAUCUCUUCUCUGGUGACUGAAAUAAAGAUCCUUAAUCUGGAUGUAUCAACUUUACUAGCAUACGUGACAAAUAUGACUAACGGGUAUGAUCAUUUUAUUUAUCGUGAACCGUUACUUACGCAACAAGCAGAAAUGGAGAGAAAACGUCCGGUGAAACCAAUUUUAGAAAACAUAUUUGAAGGUAAAGAACUUAUUGUCUGCCAAACUGCUUACGAAAAUUUCAUGAACAUCAUAGACGUUAUCGGUGGACCUAAGGAGACUGCCAGAGCGAAAGAAUUGUUGAGUAGAGUUCGAAUCGUUAACGAUAUACCCACCGGCAGAAUUGUCGAAAAAUUAAGUUUGGGUGGUAAAAUCAAAGAUAGAUCUAGACUGGUGUUCGCAACUGGCGAGAAUAUGAAAAGUAUCACGGUAUCGGCUAACGAAGGAUUUGUUAGAGCAGCACGUAUGCAGAUUCCUCGAGCAACAGGACAGGCGAAAUCAGACGGUGCAACAUCCACAAUGCGUCGGAGCAGUGUGGUCCUAACGAAAGAUGCCUUCAGAAUUCAAAGGACGAGGAAGCGCAGUGCAUGUGUCAGAAGGGUUACGAGCUGAAGAACAAUCUCUGUACCCUCAUUGCACCCACAGUCGUUGUACCCACCAUGGUUCAACCUGACGUCCAAGUUGACUCGGGAGGUAGUUCUGUAGCUGCUGGUUUGUUAAUACCAACCUUCCUCGUAGUAAUCGGUGUCUUGCUGUACCUUGGCGCGAGACGGUACAAGUGGCUG
rnacentral:misc_RNA from 1 species